GGCCCUUACAUAAAAAAAACAAAAAAAAAAGAAAUUAUCAAGACCAACCCCCCCCCUCCCCUGAACUCCCCCCCCCCCGGGGGGGGGAAUCGGCGGGGGCCCCCUUUAAUUAAGGGCCUGCCCCUUGUAACUACUUGCCUAGCGGCUCUCAGGAUCUUAUGCCAUUUCGAGCCAUAUAUCGGGAUCGCCG
rnacentral:rRNA from 1 species